rnacentral:misc_RNA from 1 species
GAUGAAGAACGUAGCGAAAUGCGAUACGUAAUGUGAAUUGCAAAUUCAGUGAAUCAUCGAGUCUUUGAACGCACAUUGCGCCCCCUGGUAUUCCGGGGGGCAUGCCUGUCCGAGCGUCAUUACAACCCUCAAGCUCAGCUUGGUGUUGGGCCCCGCCGCCCCGGCGGGCCCUAAAGUCAGUGGCGGUGCCGUCCGGCUCCGAGCGUAGUAAUUCUUCUCGCUCUGGAGGUCCGGUCGUGUGCUUGCCAGCAACCCCCAAUUUUUUUCAGGUUGACCUCGGAUCAGGUAGGGAUACCCGCUGAACUUAAGCAUAUCAAUAAGCGGAGGA